CAGCUGUUUGCUCCGUCUUUUGUUCGGUUAAAAAUAGCUUGACGCGGCAGCUUACCUGCGCCGGGCGCUGCUCGGGGCUGCGUAAGGGAAGGGGGUUCUGGCGGCAUCAAUCAUUUCCUUCUCCCUCGGAUCUGGGAUCGCCACACCUAAAUUAAUUAUAGCAGCAGCCCGGAAAGCGGCUCGCGGUCUCCUCAAACAGCGUUUUGCUGCCUGGAGCUCACGGGAAAGAAAAGUUUCUGUGUAAUCAGGAUAGAACAGAGCGCUGUUACCGGAGCUCAGUGCUCCUCACCACAACCCACUGAAGCGUCUAUGUCGCCAAAUACUAAUAUUCCUCCCGCAGGCUUUAUUUUCUGUUUUUCCCUUUGUAUCUCAUACUCGUGGCCGUGUUGCACUGCCACUGCACGUUAACCCAGUGAAAUAAUUGCAUUACAGCAGAUUACUCGCAGCAGACGUUUAUUCCUCUUCUCCUGACCCUGCGCAGUUAUUAACAAGUACGGGGUGCCAGGACAAUGGGGAACCUCUCCUAAUUGAAGAGGAGCAAUUGACCUCUCCCCGUUCCCCGCAGUCUGAGGGCCACCCGGUUCGCUCGGUCCGCUCUCGUGUGCGUGCACACGGACGCACCCGCACUCCCGUACGCACCGUGCGGCAGUGAUCCCCUAUUUCUCAGAGAGAUUGAAGAGAAACAUGAAACUAAUAAAUUGACGGGAAAAAUUGAUCGCUUGUUCCACUUUACUUUCUCCCCGCGCUGUAACGCAGCGCCGAGCCUUUGGCUGGGUGGCAGCCCGGCGUUCCGGGACCCCAUCCCGACGUGCGGCUUCUGGGGCUGAAGUUUCUCAACAACCCGAGACCGCGCCUUAUUGGGCCGUGCGCGUUGGACUCCGCACCGUGCGGACCCGCCGCGGCUGUACCGCGCGCACAGUUUUUGUCAGACCAUCUCUGCGCAGCCGCUCCCCGGCCGCAAACCCCUCCGCCGCGGACGGCAGCGCAAUCCCCUCGGUGCUCUUUCGUUCCCGGUGCGCGCCCCGUAAUUCUUUACAACGAAAUUGCUUCCCCUCCGGUUCCUAGAUUUUAAUUUACUGAAGGACUGAUUAGCUGUGGCUUUAAAAGGGCCAGGUCUGCGCCGGCUCGAGGCGUCACCUCUCACCUCCUGCAGCCCCGGGCCGGGCGCUCCGCGGAGGGGAGCGGCAGCCUCGAGCGGGCGAUGCCGGAAUGAGGCGCCGCGGAAGGUGCGGCUCUGUCGGGCGAAAAUAACGGUGGGGUUGAUUUUAGCUCUCUUCGCCCUGUCCUGAUGCCGCCCCUUCUUUUUAUUGCCGGGGAGGAGGGAAGGAGGAGGGCCGGCCGGGGUGCACCGCUCUGCUUAAAGGCUUCGUGUAAACUUUGGCAUUUCGAGGAAUACCUUCAAAAACCCGGGUCUGAUUGGAUUCAGGCGUGUGCCCGGCUCACAUCGAUUCGUGGAGUCAUUGGAGGUGUAAAGCUCCGUCGAUAGCUUUUCAGGUCCAGUGCCCCUAAAGCAGCAGAUUCUGCCUUCACUGCCGCCAAAUCCUGGAAUUAGUUUAACAGAAAUACAAACAUGUAAUAAUUUUCAGCUGUAAAAAAUCAUUUCAAAGAGGGGUGAUGCUGUAAGAGGAAACACUGCAAUAAAAUCCACAGAUCUCUUCUGAAAAGAUUUCACCUUGAGCAAAUGUUUCGAGUGCGUCAGUGCCUUAUUAAAAUUAUACCGUGGACUUAAUUCUGACGAUGGUGGCAACGACACGGAGCGCACAUAGAAAUCUCAGGGAAAAAAAAAAAAAAAAGGCUAGAAAUGAAUUUCUUUUCGGAUAUGGACAGUGAAAGGUGUGAGCACUCUUUUAAUAGUUUCGAUCUCUGUCAAAUGAUCGAUGUAGAUAAAGGCAAACACUGAAUAUUCAGGAAAAUGCAAUUAAUGUUAGGGAGUUACCUUUCACUGCAUGUACCGCCGAUGCGGAGCCAUCGGUGUGUUUAUUUUCCUAAUGUCUCCCCAAAUUCCAGCAAUCCGCAGAGCAGUCACAGCCUUUUCCAUGUGUUUAUCAUCGAGGUUGGAACAGGAUUCGCCUCAAUUGUUCUGCCUCUCAGUGUUUGCCUUUCUUCCCUUUUCUGCAUUUCCUACUUACAUUUGCUUUGGUUGCAAAAAUAAACAGCGGAGUUUUUAACAGCAAUUGGAGAUGAUAAUGGUUACUGAUCCCAUUCUUUCCAUCAUAAUCUUCAAGUGGUUUAAGAUUAAUGAUAGGAGGUGUUUUAGCGAGGAGUGUGGGUUCUCUUCUCCAAAGACCAUCGCUAUGAUAAUUUACUUAAGAUGUUGACAAGACUGUCAGUGAGGCUAAUUUUUUAUUAAGCUGCUCUGUUGCGACUGCAGAUAGCUUUCGCUGCUGUUAUUUAAGCGCACGGUAUUUUCGAACGCCUUCCUAUAAAUAUUGGUAUUUGCUCUCUGCCUGAUGGAUUUGCAAUUGAGAUGAUUCCCCUUUGCCUUUGUUUCAAGAAAGGUAUCUCCCGGUGUUCUGAGAAAUAUUCUCUGCCGCCCUCCCCCAUUCCCUACACCUUUUAAAAGAAAAUAUAUUCGAGCACCUCCUGCCUCGAUGCAGCGAGCCCCAGCUUCCAUAGGCGUUGCCUUGACCGAACCCGGCACAGACCUGAGCCAGGUUUGAUGGUGGUGCUUUGAUUUUAUUUCUGUCUUUUAACGGGCAAAACAAUCCUGCCAGAUAGAAACGUUUACCUGUAGCACCUCACAGCACAAAGAGGCUCUGCUGCCUCUUUAAUCGCGGCCGAUUUUAUGUUUCUUAUUUUUUUCUUUCUUUUCUUUCUUUUUUUUUUUUUUUUUUUUUUUUUUUUUCCGGCUUUCGACCCAUCCCCUCCAACCGAUAGGUGAAGUCCUCCUGGCCCGGCCCGGGGACAUCGGGCCUGGCUCCCCCGAGCUGCCACGGGAUGAUGAAAUCUCGCAGCGGAUCGGAUCAGCUGCUUUCACCCCUUCUGUCGUGUUUUCAACAAAUAGAACAUCCCAGGCUUUCCCCAUAAAUUGCCGGCACCAUGUCGCGCUCUUCCUAGAGCCACUGAUAAGGGCCGUUUGUGUUCUCCAUGCGGGAUAGGAAGUCCCGGGGAAGUUUGUGAGCCCCGCAGAAUGAGUGGGAGAACACGCGGGAGCUAUACAUGAGAUUUUGUUCCGGUUCUCAGAAGGUUUGGACUGUCUAAAAUAGAAAUAGUGGCGAUAAUGAAAAUAAAAUUAAAAAAAAAAGUAAAAAGAAAAUACAAUAUUCAAAUAAUAAAAUAACUAAAAUACAAGGGAAAAAAAAGAAAAAGAAAAGAAAAAGGAGAAAGGAAGAAAGAAAGAAAGAAAGAAAGGAAGGACCUGUGGGUUAGCAGUUUGCGCACAACCCUCCCGUCCCGCAGCACCCGAACGCGGCUUCGCUCCUUUCGGCCCGGCGCAGCGGCCUUGCGGCCAGCAGGGGGCGCUCCGACGUUGCUCCUGGCAGCCCGCGCCCUGCCCACCGUCUCCGCGUUCCCGCAUGGGCGCAAGCACCGCGCAAGCACCGCACACGUCCUCAAGCAUCCCGGCUCCGAGGCGCGGCCCC
ensembl:lncRNA